GCUAAGAGGGCUAAACCAAGCCAACUCAUCACUAUGGGGUUAACUGUUAAGUGGUAGAUUUUAAGAAACAUUUAAAGUGUUAAUCUCUAUAAUUUGUUUCCUCUCUCCUAACUUUUCACCCUUACAUAGUCCCGUUAUAUAUAAGUUUUUUGAUUUUCUUAACUUCAUUUGCAGUAAUCGUUAUCGAUAUCAAUAUAAAACUGCCUAGUAGAGUGCAAGAAAAAUCACAAUAACAUGAUGUAAAAUUGCAUUAGAUGUGAAUAUACGGUGAAUUAUUCAAUGCUCCGGGUGCAUGAUCCAACCCUAUUACAAAUGUUUGGAGAUGGACACUCACAUUCACGAGGGUUGACUAGUGCCCUCGAAUAACUUUACAGUUAGUGGUUUUAAUUUACUCUCCACCCAGAAACAAAAAACAAAAAAGGAUCCAAAAGUCCUACUGUAACUUAUCCAAAAGUCUUACUGUAACUUAUCAAAGCUUUUAAGCUUCCCAAAGAUUGUCUGAUCACCCACAAAAAAGUGCUAUAAUUCGCCAAUUUCUAUCCCCAAUUUAUUUCACCAUAUACACAACCAAAUAAAAAGUUAAUUUCCAUUCAAAAUAAUGGGGGAUUCAAUCUCCCAGAACGACUGAAUUACAAAGCUAAGAGUCCUCUUUCUGGGAUCCCUCUUUCUGCUGGGCAGCAGGAGAAGUUCAAAACGACGGCAGUGCAAUACAAAUCACUGAGGAAUACUAAACCAAACUAAAACCGAAUAAACAGUUUCCAAAAUCAUAACCUCAGCAUUGUAUUCAUGAACUACAUCCGAUGGUAUACAAAGCACCUCAUUAUUGUAUCUCUCUU